rnacentral:rRNA from 1 species
CCUACGGGAGGCAGCAGUGAGGAAUAUUGGUCAAUGGGCGAGAGCCUGAACCAGCCAAGUCGCGUGAAGGAUGACGGCCCUACGGGUUGUAAACUUCUUUUGUCAGGGAGCAAGUGAGUCCACGUGUGGGCUUAGCGAGAGGACCUGAAGAAAAAGCAGCGGCUAACUCCGUGCCAGCAGCCGCGGUAAUACGGAGGAUGCGAGCGUUAUCCGGAUUUAUUGGGUUUCAAGGGUGCGUAGGCGGAAUAUCAAGUCAGCGGUAACAAUUCGGGGCUCAACCCCGUCGUGCCGUUGAAACUGCUGUUCUUGAUUGGGCGAGAAGUAUGCGGACUGCGUGGUGUAGCGGU